rnacentral:rRNA from 1 species
GAUCAUGGCUCAGGAUGAACGCUAGCUACAGGCUUAACACAUGCAAGUCGAGGGGAAACGACAUCGAAAGCUUGCUUUUGAUGGGCGUCGACCGGCGCACGGGUGAGUAACGCGUAUCCAACCUGCCCAUCACUUGGGAAUAACCUUGCGAAAGUAAGACUAAUACCCAAUGAUAUCCCACGAAGGCAUCCGAAUGGGAUUAAAGAUUUAUCGGUGAUGGAUGGGGGAUGCGU